GACGUAGGGCGCGAGCGUUGUCCGGAUUUAUUGGGCGUAAAGAGCUCGUAGGCGGCUCGUUGCGUCGGCUGUGAAAACCCGCAGCUCAACUGUGGGCUUGCAGCCGAUACGGGCGGGCUGGAGUUCGGUAGGGGAGACUGGAAUUCCUGGUGUAGCGGUGAAAUGCGCAGAUAUCAGGAGGAACACCAAUGGCGAAGGCAGCUCGCUGGGACGGUACUGACGCUGAGACGCGAAAGCGUGGGGAGCAAACAGG
rnacentral:rRNA from 1 species